UGGGGAUUUUUGCACAAUGGGCGCAAGCCUGAUGCACCCAUGCCGCGUGUUUGAAGAAGGCCUUCGGGUUGUAAAGCACUUUCAUCGGGGAGGAAGGCGAUAAGGUUAAUAACCUUGUCGAUUGACGUUACCCGCAGAAGAAGCACCGGCUAACUCCGUGCCAGCAGUCGCGGUAAUACGGAGGGUGCAAGCGUUAAUCGGAAUUACUGGGCGUAAAGCGCACGCAGGCGGUCUGUCAAGUCGGAUGUGAAAUCCCCGGGCUCAACCUGGGAGCUGCAUUCGAAACUGGGAGGCUAGAGUCUUGUAGAGGGGGGUAGAAUUCCAGGUGUAGCGGUGAAAUGCGUAGAGAUCUGGAGGAAUACCGGUGGCGAAGGCGGCCCCCUGGACAAAGACUGACGCUCAGGUGGGAAAGCGUGGGGAGCAAACAGG
rnacentral:rRNA from 1 species